UAUCUGGUUGAUCCUGCCAGUAGUCAUAUGCUUGUCUCAAAGACUAAGCCAUGCAUGUCUAAGUAUAAGUAUUAUACAGCGAAACUGCGAAUGGCUCAUUAAAACAGUUAUAGUUUAUUUGAUAAUCGAAUUUACAUGGAUAACCGUGGUAAUUCUAGAGCUAAUACAUGCUGGUGUGCCCGACUUUUGCGGAAGGGCGGUAUUUAUUAGAUAACAAACCAAUAUUCCUCGUGUCUAUUGUGGUGACUCAUAAAUACUGAUCGAAUCGCAAGGCCCUUGGCCGCGAUAAGUCAUUCAAGUUUCUGCCCCAUCAGCUUUCGAUGGUAGUGUAUUGGACUACCAUGGCGUUUACGGGUAACGGAGGAUUAGGGUUCGAUUCCGGAGAGGGAGCCUGAGAAACGGCUACCACAUCUAAGGAAGGCAGCAGGCGCGUAAAUUACCCAAUCCUGACUCAGGGAGGUAGUGACAAGAAAUAACGGACCGAGGCCUCCGGGCUUCGGGAUUGCAAUGACCGAAUUUCCCCCUUAGCGAGGAUCAAUUGGAAGGCAAGUCUGGUGCCACAGCCCCGGUAAUUCCAGCUCCAAUAACGUAUAUUAAAGUUGUUGCAGUUAAAAAGCUCGUAAUUGGAUUUCUGGGAAGGUGCCAAUGUCCCCGACCGCGUGCGCA
rnacentral:rRNA from 1 species